AUUGAACGCUGGCGGCAUGCUUUACACAUGCAAGUCGAACGGUAACAGGCCGCAAGGUGCUGACGAGUGGCGAACGGGUGAGUAAUGCAUCGGAACGUGCCCAGUCGUGGGGGAUAACUAUCCGAAAGGAUAGCUAAUACCGCAUACGAUCUGCGGAUGAAAGCGGGGGACCUUCGGGCCUCGCGCGAUUGGAGCGGCCGAUGUCAGAUUAGGUAGUGGGUGGGGUAAAGGCUCACCAAGCCAACGAUCUGUAGCUGGUCUGAGAGGACGACCAGCCACACUGGGAGUGAGACACGGCCCAGACUCCUACGGGAGGCAGCAGGGGGGAAUUCUGGACAAUGGGCGCAAGCCUGAUCCAGCAAUGCCGCGUGCAGGAAGAAGGCCUUCGGUUUGUAAACUGCUUUUGUACGGAACGAAACGGCUCUGGUUAAUACCUGGGGCUAAUGACGGUACCGUAAGAAUAAGCACCGGCUAACUACGUGCCAGCCGCCGCGGUAA
rnacentral:rRNA from 1 species